ensembl:snoRNA SNORA70 Small nucleolar RNA SNORA70
CUGCAGCUAAUUAAGCAAAUCAUGCUCCUUUCCUCAUGGGGGUCUGGAGUGCAAUGGCUGCAAAUAGCAGCCUCCUAUGUAGUAUAUGCAGCCUGUUGCUUAUAUACGUUGCUCUAAGGGAUCUCAGAGACAUUC